UGGGGAAUAUUGCACAAUGGGCGCAAGCCUGAUGCAGCCAUGCCGCGUGUGUGAAGAAGGCCUUCGGGUUGUAAAGCACUUUCAGCGAGGAGGAAGGGUUCAGUGUUAAUAGCACUGUUCAUUGACGUUACUCGCAGAAGAAGCACCGGCUAACUCCGUGCCAGCAGCCGCGGUAAUACGGAGGGUGCAAGCGUUAAUCGGAAUUACUGGGCGUAAAGCGCACGCAGGCGGUUUGUUAAGUCAGAUGUGAAAUCCCCGCGCUUAACGUGGAACUGCAUUGAAACUG
rnacentral:rRNA from 1 species